GACGAAGGGGGCUAGCGUUGUUCGGAAUUACUGGGCGUAAAGCGAGUGUAGGUGGUUGUCCAAGUUGGAUGUGAAAGCCUUGAGCUCAACUCAAGAAAUGCAUUCAGGACUGGGCGGCUAGAGGACCGGAGAGGAUAGUGGAAUUCCCAGUGUAGUGGUGAAAUACGUAGAGAUUGGGAAGAACACCAGUGGCGAAGGCGGACUAUCUGGACGGUUUCUGACACUAAGACUCGAAAGCGUGGGGAGCAAACAGG
rnacentral:rRNA from 1 species